GUAGCACAGAGAGCUUGCUCUCGGGUGACGAGUGGCGGACGGGUGAGUAUGUCUGGGAACUGCCUGAUGGAGGGGGAUAACUACUGGAAACGGUAGCUAAUACCGCAUAAUGUCGCAAGACCAAAGAGGGGGACCUUCGGGCCUCUUGCCAUCAGAUGUGCCCAGAUGGGAUUAGCUAGUAGGUGGGGUAACGGCUCACCUAGGCGACGAUCCCUAGCUGGUCUGAGAGGAUGACCAGCCACACUGGAACUGAGACACGGUCCAGACUCCUACGGGAGGCAGCAGUGGGGAAUAUUGCACAAUGGGCGCAAGCCUGAUGCAGCCAUGCCGCGUGUAUGAAGAAGGCCUUCGGGUUGUAAAGUACUUUCAGCGGGGAGGAAGGU
rnacentral:rRNA from 1 species